rnacentral:rRNA from 1 species
UACGGAAUGUGCAAACGUUAUUCGGAAUCACUGGGCUUAAAGAGUCCGUAGGCGGCUUGUUAGGUGAGGUGUGAAAUCCCUCGGCCCAACCGAGGAAUUGCGCUUCAAACCGGCGAGCUUGAGGAGGAUAGAGGUGGGCGGAACUGAUGGUGGAGCGGUGAAAUGCGUUGAUAUCAUCAGGAACACCGGAGGCGAAAGCGGUCCACUGGGUCCUUUCUGACGCUGAGGGACGAAAGCUAGGGGAGCGAACGGG